ACGCGAGCUGGGUUCAGAACGUCGUGAGACAGUUCGGUCCCUAUCCGUCGCAGGCGUAGGAAAUUUGAGAAGACCUGUCCUUAGUACGAGAGGACCGGGAUGGACGUACCUCUGGUGUACCAGUUGUCCUGCCAAGGGCAUGGCUGGGUAGCUAUGUGCGGAAUGGAUAAGCGCUGAAAGCAUCUAAGCGCGAAGCCAACUUCAAGAUAAGAUUUCCCACCGCAAGGGUAAGACCACAGAAAGACUAGCUGGUUGAUAGGUCGAAGGUGUAAGUGCAGCAAUGUAUUUAGCUUAUCGAUACUAAUAGGUCGAGGACUUGACCAAU
rnacentral:rRNA from 1 species